GCGCCGGUGGUGUAAGGCGAACAUCGCUGCCCGGAAAGCAGAAGAUGCGGGUUCGAGUCCCGCCUGGAGCA
rnacentral:tRNA from 1 species